CGCGGGAGUGGAGCAGCUUGGUAGCUCGUCGGGCUCAUAACCCGAAGGUCGUUGGUUCAAAUCCAGCUCCCGCAACCA
rnacentral:tRNA from 1 species